AAUUUGGGUUCUGAGGGUAUUUUUGAAAGAAAAUUUGAAAACUGGAGGUCAAAACUUAAUUUAGAAAAAUUGUGUCACGUCAGCUGCCCGAUCAGCAACCCCGGCCAACCAGAACGCGCCACGUGGCAGAGACGCUGACACGGGAGGCCACACAAAAGGGAGCCAUGAGGGCAAUCUGCGUGCGCACGACGGACGACUCAUAUUAAAAGCACGCACGGACAGCCCAGAUUGCAUGCGUAUGGACGUCAUAGAUUGAAUCGUGCACGGCGGUCCAGAUUCAUUUACUUUUUAAUCGCGAUCGGACAGUUCAG
rnacentral:lncRNA from 1 species